UACGUAGGGGGCUAGCGUUGUCCGGAUUUAUUGGGCGUAAAGAGCGUGUAGGCGGCCAGGUAGGUCUGGUGUGAAAACUCGAGGCUUAACCUCGAGAUGUCAUCGGAAACCAUUUGGCUAGAGUCCGGAAGAGGAGAGUGGAAUUCCCUGGUGUAGCGGUGAAAUGCGCAGACUAUCAGGAAGAACACCCGUGGCGAAGGCGGCAUCCUGGACCGACAUUGACGCUGAUGAGCGAAAGCUAGGGGAGCAAACGGG
rnacentral:rRNA from 1 species